CCAAACUUGGUCAUUUAGAGGAAGUAAAAGUCGUAACAAGGUUUCCGUAGGUGAACCUGCGGAAGGAUCAUUACCAAAGCUACAACAGCGUAGUGGAUUAGCGGGAGCAGGGCUGUUGGGGUGUGUGUGUGAGAGCACCGCACGCUGCGCCCUGCGACCGUAACUCUAGAACCAUUAGUUUGUUUUGUCUAUCAAUGAUACAUACAACUUUUAACAAUGGAUCUCUAGGCUCUUGCAUCGAUGAAGAACGCAGC
rnacentral:misc_RNA from 1 species